rnacentral:tRNA from 1 species
GUCCCUGUAGCUCAAUGGAUAGAGCAGUCCCCUUCUAAGGGAAAGGUUGAGAGUUCGACUCUCUCCAGGGACA